rnacentral:rRNA from 1 species
GAUGAACGCUGGCGGCGUGCCUAAUACAUGCAAGUCGAGCGAACAGACGAGGAGCUUGCUCCUCUGACGUUAGCGGCGGACGGGUGAGUAACACGUGGAUAACCUACCUAUAAGACUGGGAUAACUUCGGGAAACCGGCGCUAAUACCGGAUAAUAUCUUGCACCGCAUGGUUCAAUAGUAAAAGACGGUUUUGCUGUCACGUAUAGAUGGAUCCGCGCCGCAUUAGCUAGUUGGUAAGGUAACGGCUUACCAAGGCAACGAUGCGUAGCCGACCUGAGAGGGUGAUCGGCCACACUGGAACUGAGACACGGUCCAGACUCCUACGGGAGGCAGCAGUAGGGAAUCUUCCGCAAUGGGCGAAAGCAUGACGGAGCAACGCCGCGUGAGUGAUGAAGGUCUUCGGUUCGUAAAACUCUGUUAUUAGGGAAGAACAAAUGUGUAAGUAAAUAUGCCCGUCUUGACGGUACCUAAUCAGAAAGCCACGGCUAACUACGUG